GGUAACUUAGAUCGUACGUGCUUUGCAUAUAAACUUUCAAUGGAGGUUACGUAAAAUUGUAGUGCCGGUCGAAAUUGGUCGAGAUGAACAAUUAAAACACCGACACCUUUCCUGACUUGGUUGAAUACUGCGAUCGACUUGACAAAGUGCGAGAUAGGCACGACGUAGUUGCGAAUUCCGUAAAUAACGCUAUUUGCGUUUAGUUAUGCAGGGUCUACAAUGUCAGUAAUAAUAAGACUCUGCAUUACACCUUAUUAACUUUGAAAACGAGAGAAUAAGGAAAGCACUCGUUUGGCAAUCGGCAAGGGUGUCGUAUAUUUCAUGCGGCUCAUGAGCAAGAAAUGAGAGAAUGUAUCCCGCGAAUCACAAGACUAUAUUCGUGUUGGAUCACACACCGUAUUUUGGCAUUUCCACUGAGUGCCCGCUGGAGUUUGAUUUUCUCAAGAGCAGGGGGCAAAAUCUGAUCCCGCUGGCACCGGUCUGCAAAUCUCUGUGGACCACCAGCGUCGAGGCCUCGUUGGAGUACUGUCGGAUUGUGUGGGAUCUCUUUCCUAUAGGGAAACUAAUUAGAUUUGUUGUGACUGACCGUGCAGCUUAUGUACUGAACUCAUGGAGUCCCUUGCAGCAAAAUUUGAAUCAUAUAAUGAAUGGCACUGCCAUUUUAGGAGUGCCAACAAAGACGCCAGACUCGGGGGAGGAUUAUUCCGUGAUACAUGGUCUACGUGUGGCGAUUGAGACACUGAACGAAUGCUCCGAGAUACAGCAUGAGAAACGAACAUCUCUCAAUGAAAACACUAGUAAGCUGAUAAACCGGGGCAGAGUAAUAUGUAUAACAAGUGCACGUGACAACAGCAACAUGAAGAGCUUAGAAAAUAUAUUUCUAAGUGAACUAGCAACAGAAAAUAAGAAUGCACUAGCUUCAGAUCAUUUAAUUCCUGUUGAUUAUUGUCAUUUAGUUAUACUGAACAUAUAUCCCAACAAUAUUGAAUCUCAAGUAACUAGUCAAGGUCCUCGAGAGGUAUCACCAUUUCUUACUGUAGAAGUGCACUCAAUUAAAUCUUCAGCACUUCAUUCUAAGUUAUCCCAUUUGAUUUUGUCUCAUUACGAUUUGGCCAGCACUACAGUAACGGGUAUACCUAUGAAGGAAGAACAGAACGCUAGUUCAUCUGCCAAUUAUGAUGUGGAGAUAUUUCAUUCCUCCGCCGCGCACACUGCAAUUUUAAAAGGUAAUCCGCAAGAUUCAGCAUUGAUAAAGACAUUUAGACGUUUCGAAGAAGGAUCGGAAUACGAGACGGUCACAUUAAAGUGGUGCACGCCGCGUGGCUGUAGCGCGUCGGAGAUGCAAAACUGCACAGCGAUGCACCGAAUCACACCGGUGGAUGUCAAUAGUAGACCGUCCUCUUGUUUAAUUAACUUUUUAUUAAAUGGCAGAUCGGUGAUGUUGGAAAUGGCUAGAAAAGCUGGAGGAAAGACUAUCUCGCAUCUAUUAGCAGCGCAUGGCGGCGAAAUUUUCAUUCAUACACUAUCCACUGCUCGAAGCGUGCUCGAAGAUCCACCUUCCAUUAGUGAGGGAUGCGGCGGACGUGUCACGGAUUAUAGAAUAACUGAUUUCGGUAUCCUCAUGAAAAAUAACAUAUUGGUACCACUAAAACGUACUUCCAAUUCUGAUGCUGAAGGUUUAGUAGAAAAGAUGAGAUCAAGACUAGAACGUCACACCAAAUAUUGGCCUAUGACUAUUUCAAGUACUCUUAUGUUUAACUUAAAACAGGUAAUAGAUCCACUACCAGAAUUAAUGGUGAAGGAGGAGCUCACCACAGAAGAGAUGCUCCAGUGCAAGCAAGUGAUUUUUAGCGUGCUUGGUCUAGAGGCGAAACAUGAGGCUUUGCCUCUACCAAGCAUCGGCGGAGGUCGCGGUGGGAAAGGAGGUGUACGCAGAGAGGAACAUUAUCGUUUGCUGUGGGAUGAGAUAGAAACAUUUCUUAAGCAUCACGCUAACAACUCGGCUGCGCAUACCGAAAUCCUUAAUUGUUUAUUGGAAAUCAGAAAUAAAGACGAAAAAGACAAAGUAGAACUCGAUCAGGCCUUGCGAGAGUUGGAUAGCUUUGGCAAGGAAGACGGAACUGCUAGAGUCAGUGUAAUCAGAGCGACAACGGAUUCGCCGAUGUCACCGCCGGCAAACGUAUCGGUACCUUUGACUAAACAGUUACACAAAGGCAAUAUUGUUACGUCGAGGAGCCUCCUGGAUAUCUGGAUGCAGCGUAGUGCACCAAAGGACAGAAAACCAGAUUUCCAUGGCAGAAUCAAUAGCGAUGGACUUAAAGCGAAGCUAUAUCCUAAUUUAAAGGAGACUGGAAGAGAACCCAGAGAGACCAUGUUAGAAGGUUAACAGAUAGAAGAGACGCGGAAUGUACCGUGUAAAGACACCAUUUGUAAUAAAGAGAGAACCAUAUGUCCAUCCAUAGAACUAACGUUUAUAAAACUUCAAUCUGUGACAAAAAUUUGAAAUGAAGUUAAUGAAAUAUUUAUAUUGAAAAAAGCUCCCCUCUCCUCUGCCGCUGACCGCUCUCUGCACUCCUCCUGCUGUUUUAUUAGUCAACGUCUGCCGAGUGUCUGCGUCGUCUAAGCGAUAUGUCAACCUCUGUCGAAUCUAUAGUUUACUUCGGCAUGCGCCCGGCUAUGCUAAUCAAUAAAGGACGCCGGACCGGACGAGGAGCAAGGAAAGAAAGCGCUCGUGUAUCAGUGUAUAUUGGCGCGUGCAUCUACACACACAUACACACACACACACGCGCGCGCAUGCACGCACACAAAAUCUCUCGAUUUAAUGUGUAGACAAAAGAUUUCCGAAUUUAUAUAAAGAAUCGAAAAAGGCAAAAAUUUCGAGAUCUUAAGUGUCCGCGAGUUUAACAUUCCGAAGAUCCACUCACACGUCAAAGUCUUAACAAUUUUCCGGAAAUAUUCUGGAUAUUUCUUAAUAAUCCAUUUUAAUUUAUAGAUCAUUUACUUUUCCGAAGAGAGGAGGUAAGAAAGUGCAGUUGGAGAGAAAUUUAAAUCGAUCCAUUUGACGCGGUAGUUAUUACUUAUGCUGCACCUUGUGUAAAACAAGCCACUAAAAGAGAGAUACGGUACUGCGAAGGGGGUGAGAGAGAUUACGGGAGAAGGACGAGGUGGAGGAGAAGGAGGACAAGGAUGAGGAAAAGGAGGAGGACGAGGAUGUGAAAGAGAAGAGGAGGGUUGCGGAAAGGAACCAGGGAGCACAAGUGUAUGACGUAACGGUUCAUUCAUCCUGAGACAGGCGAUAGAGGAUAUCCCGGUCAAUGGUAUACUUAUGCAUCAUACGCGACACGUGCAUGCAUGCGUGUGGAGAUGAAGCAACACGUGGUGUACAUACAUGCAAGUGUCUAAUGCAGAGCUUACAAUGGAAGUAGUAGUAAAGUUGUCAGUAAAAACUGACAAAUUAUAGUUAGGUGUGAGAAGAAUAAUCGAAUUUAAUUGGUCAAUUCUUAUGGUUUGCGACUUACAAUCUUACUAUUAUUGCCACAGAUAGCCACAAAUGUAUGUAUGAGCACAAAUUGUUCUCAUGUUGCUAAUAAAGAUGUUAGCAUCUUACUACGCAUUUACGUCGUCCCUUAUGCUGUUAUUUGCUAGCAUUCGACACUGAUCUUAAGUAACGCUAGCAUAAUGUUUGAAACGUGCAAAGAAUUUUAUUUCCGACAUCGAAUGCUAGCAAACGACAGCACGAGGGACGACAUAAAUGCGUAGCAAGAUGCUAAUAUCUUUAUUAUACCAAACUGGCUGUCUGGGGCCAUUGUAGACCCUGUAUAAUGUCUCGUCUACAAUGAGUUGUUAGUCAUUGGGCGUAAAAAAUCUAGCCAAUCACCUUAGAAAAGAAUAAGCGAACAUAAUUGAUUAAAUUUCUUACGACCAACAACUAACGACUCGUAUAAGGCUUAACUGUUUCGGUUUCUUCGCUAACUUUACUGUUCUUCGAAUAUAGAUUUUUUAAUUCGCUUAAUUAUUGUGAUAUUCGUCUAUUAUAGGUAUGCUUUACUUGAAUUUUCGGAUUAACGUUACUUAGAGAGUUGUUAAAUAUCUUUAUUGUUCAUUUUUGUAUUUUGUAAAAGUUUUGAAUAUUGUAAAACAUUUUAAAUAUUUUUGCAAGAAUUUAAGUCGCUUCUUUAUCUUUAAUCACGUUGUAAAAUGAUGAUCAACAUUGCGCUAUUUUCAUUAUACGUUGAUAAGAAAUGCGGAAGAGUUAAUAAUUAAUAUCUCACAAGUCGUCACAAUACUAAAAUGUAAUGAUAUUUAGUGGUUGCAUUAUCAUAUUUAUUUUUUAAAAAAUCUGACAGGUUUUUGUCAGAGACAUAGAUUAUUCGUAUAUUUAAUAGAUGUAAUCACUAAUUGCAUUAUGGAAGUAUCAGUUAAUUAUUGACGAUUUAAUGCAAUUUUUCAGAUAAAAAUUAUUGAUGAAAAUAACUGAAGAGACAUAAAAAAGAUAGACAGUAUUAAAAUCAUGAUAAAAUUACGAAUUCGAGCUACAGCUUUAUGUUUAUAUCAAACAGUUAUAUGAGUCGAUAAUUGGUAUUACAUAUAAUAUGAAACGAGCGUAUUAAACAGGGAAUUAUAUGAAAUAUAUAUGAUGAUCAAUAUCAAUCAAGUGCGAUAAUACCCACUGCGUGUAAUUAUUUAUAACGCUCUCAACAUUUUACAUCGUAAAUAUUAAAUGCUGUAUACAUGCCGCCAGUAAAAUAUCGAAUACGUAAAUAGAUAUAUUAAUUGUUGCUGAUAGCGCGAGACGCAUAGUCUGCAUCACGCCAUAUCGAUAUGGAGCGUUCAGCGUUUAUAUAAUUGAAACUCGUGUAUAGCUGUGUGGUACAUAUCGAUCGUGGCUUUCGAGGGUCACUGAACGAAACGAAACGAGAAAACGAAGCGGGCACCCAACGCGAGCACACUGUUCUUCCGCGCCAAUAAAUAAUUAUAAGCAGGAAUUUAAGCGUAAAAACCUCGACAAGUGCUGAGUUCCACUUAUCAACGUCAAUUUUACGUCAUUAUACAAAGAUGAGUUAAUUAAAUAGUGCUUUUAAUCUCGUUUAGUCCAAAAUUAAAAACUUGUUAUUUCUA